GGGAAUAAAAAGAAAUUGUGGGGGGCCAAUUUUUUCUCAUUUCAGAUUUCAGAAAUUAAAAAGAAUUAUUCUUCAAAUAUUAUUUUUUUUUCAAAUUUCAAAUAUUGAAAAAUUUCAAGAAGUAAUCUUCAAUUGCACAGUAUGGCGCAUUAGAUUUGUAAAAUCUUUGAUCACAUUUAUUUAUUUGUUAUGCCGAAUCUAACAGUGUAUUUAGAUUUUUAAUUUUGGGUCCAGUUUUCAAAUUGGUCUACAUUAAUGUCCAAAGGGUCCAAAAUUAAACUUUGUUUGAUUUUAGCAAAAAUUGAAUAUAUGAGGUUCUUUGAUAUGCUGAAUCUAAACAUGUAUUUAGAUUUUUGAUUUUUGGCCCAGUUUUCAAGUUGGUCCAAAUUGGGGUCCAAAAUUAAACUUUGUUUGAUUUCAACAAAAAUUGAAUAUAUGGGGUUCUUUGAUAUGCUGAAUCUAACCAUGUAUUUAGAUUUUUUAUUUGUGGACCCCGUUAUCUAAUUGGUUCAUAUUGAGGUCAAAAGGGUCCAAAAUUAAACUUUGUUUGAUUUCAUCAAAAAUUGAAUUAUUGGGGUUCUUUGAUAUGCCAAAUCUAACCGUGUUUUUAGAUUUUUAAUUUGGGUCCCGUUUUUUAAAUUGGUCUUCAUUGAGGUCCAAAGGGUCCAAAAUUAAACUUAGUUUGAUUUUAACAAAAAUUGAAUUCUUGGGGUUCUUUGAUAUGCUGAAUCUAAACAUGUGUUUAGAUUUUUGAUUAUGGGCCCAGUUUUCAAGUUGGUCCAAGUUGGGGUCCAAAAUUAAACUUUUUUUGAUUUCAACAAAAAUUGAAUAUAUGGGGUUCUUUGAUAUGCUGAAUCUAACCAUGCAUUAAGAAUUUUUAUUUGUGGGCCCCCCUAUCAAAUUUGUUCAUAUUGAGGUCAAAAGGGUCCAAAAUUAAACUUUGUUUGAUUUCAUCAAAAAUUGAAUUAUUGGGGUUCUUUGAUAUUCCAAAUCUAACCGUGUAUUUAGAUUUUUAAUUUUAAGUCCCGUUUUUUAAAUUGGUCUACAUUAAGGUCCAAAGGGUCCAAAAUUAAACUUAGUUUGAUUUUAGCAAAAAUUGAAUUCUUGGGGUUCUUUGAUAUGCUGAAUCUAAACAUGUGUUUAGAUUUUUGAUUAUGGGCCCAGUUUUCAAGUUUGUCCAAGUUGGGGUCCAAAAUUAAACUUUGUUUGAUUUUAACAAAAAUUGAAUAUAUGGGGUUCUUUGAUACGCUGAAUCUAACCAUGUAUUUUGAUUUUGGACAUUGGACCAUAAUAGGUAAAUUAAAAAAAAUCAAGUUCUUAGACCACAUUCUUUCUGUGUCAGAAACCUAUGCUGUGUCAAAUAUUUAAUAACAAUCCAAAUUCAGAGCUGUAUCAAGCUUGAAUGUUGUGUCCAUACUUGCCCCAACUGUUCAGGGUUCGACCUCUGCGGUCGUAUCAAGCUGCGCCCCAGCGAAGCAUUUUAUUGUAAUUUAGCAUAAUAAUUGUUGCUUAUAAUGUACAAACAUUUUUUAAUGGUAAUUGUUUUGUUAAUAUGUAUAUUGUUUACUUUCUAUAUGAAAUCCAGGAACCCAAAGACUAACAACCACCUAAUAUUAUUUGUAUUUUAUCUAAUGAAAUAAAAGGUCAAAAUAGA